rnacentral:rRNA from 1 species
UACGUAGGGUGCGAGCGUUGUCCGGAAUUACUGGGCGUAAAGCGUGCGCAGGCGGCUCUUUAAGUCAGAUGUGAAAGCCCCGGGCUUAACCUGGGAAUUGCGUUUGAAACUGGAGAGCUGGAGUGUGGAAGAGGGGGGUGGAAUUCCAGGUGUAGCAGUGAAAUGCGUAGAGAUCUGGAGGAACACCGAUGGCGAAGGCAGCCCCCUGGGCUAACACUGACGCUCAUGCACGAAAGCGUGGGGAGCAAACAGGAUAGAAACC